CCUACGGGUGGCAGCAGUGGGGAAUAUUGCACAAUGGGGGAAACCCUGAUGCAGCGACGCCGCGUGAGUGAAGAAGCGCCUCGGCGCGUAAAGCUCUGUCAGCAGGGACGACGGUGACGUUGCCUGAAGAAGCAGCACCUGCUACCUACGUGCCAGCAGCCGCGGUAAGACGUAGGGGGAAAGCGUUAUCCGGAUUUACUGGUUGAAAAGGGAGCGUAGACGGCGGGGCAAGUCUGGAGUGAAAGGCCGGGGCCCAACCCCGGGACCGCUCUGGAAACUGCCCGGCUGGAGUGCGGGAGAGGUAAGCGGAAUUCCUAGUGUAGCGGUGAAAUGCGUAGAGAUUAGGAGGAAUACCAGCGGCGAAGGCGGCUUACUGGACCGUGACUGACGUUGAGGUUCGAAAGCGUGGGGAGCAAACAGGAUUAGAUACCCGGGUAGUC
rnacentral:rRNA from 1 species